rnacentral:rRNA from 1 species
GAUGAACGCUGGCGGCGUGCCUAAUACAUGCAAGUCGAGCGAACAGACGAGGAGCUUGCUCCUCUGACGUUAGCGGCGGUCGGGUGAGUAACACGUGGAUAACCUACCUAUAAGACUGGGAUAACUUCGGGAAACCGGAGCUAAUACCGGAUAAUAUAUUGAACCGCAUGGUUCAAUAGUGAAAGACGGUUUUGCUGUCACUUAUAGAUGGAUCCGCGCCGCAUUAGCUAGUUGGUAAGGUAACGGCUUACCAAGGCGACGAUGCGUAGCCGACCUGAGAGGGUGAUCGGCCACACUGGAACUGAGACACGGUCCAGACUCCUACGGGAGGCAGCAGUAGGGAAUCUUCCGCAAUGGGCGAAAGCCUGACUGAGCAACGCCGCGUGAGUGAUGAAGGUCUUCGGAUCGUAAAACUCUGUUAUUAGGGAAGAACAAAUGUGUAAGUAACUAUGCACGUCUUGACGGUACCUAAUCAGAAAGCCACGGCUAACUACGUG